rnacentral:rRNA from 1 species
UGAACGCUAGCUACAGGCUUACACAUGCAAGUCGAGGGGCAGCAUGGUCUUAGCUUGCUAAGGCCGAUGGCGACCGGCGCACGGGUGAGUAACACGUAUCCAACCUGCCGUCUACUCUUGGACAGCCUUCUGAAAGGAAGAUUAAUACAAGAUGGCAUCAUGAGUCCGCAUGUUCACAUGAUUAAAGGUAUUCCGGUAGACGAUGGGGAUGCGUUCCAUUAGAUAGUAGGCGGGGUAACGGCCCACCUAGUCUUCGAUGGAUAGGGGUUCUGAGAGGAAGGUCCCCCACAUUGGAACUGAGACACGGUCCAAACUCCUACGGGAGGCAGCAGUGAGGAAUAUUGGUCAAUGGGCGAGAGCCUGAACCAGCCAAGUAGCGUGAAGGAUGACUGCCCUAUGGGUUGUAAACUUCUUUUAUAAAGGAAUAAAGUCGGGUAUGGAUACCCGUUUGCAUGUACUUUAUGAAUAAGGAUCGGCUAACUCCGUGCCAGCAGCCGCGGUAAUACGGAGGAUCCGAGCGUUAUCCGGAUUUAUUGGGUUUAAAGGGAGCGUAGAUGGAUGUUUAAGUCAGUUGUGAAAGUUUGCGGCUCAACCGUAAAAUUGCAGUUGAUACUGGAUAUCUUGAGUGCAGUUGAGGCAGGCGGAAUUCGUGGUGUAGCGGUGAAAUGCUUAGAUAUCACGAAGAACUCCGAUUGCGAAGGC